AGGUGGCGUUCUUCUUCCGACCCCAACGACCUCUCACUCCACCCCAGUUGCCAACCGUCCGUCUGGUAGAACUCAGAUCGCCCCCAUCGUCACCCCCUUUUGGAAGUCGCAGUCACCGCCGGCGACGAGGAUGAGGACGUGCCCCUCUCAAACCCCGAUCGAUCACGAUUUGUGGCAAAGUCGGGUUCGUGAUGCGGCAAUCCAAGACCCUCAAGAUCGGCGCUAACCAUCUUGGAGGAUUUGGGAGACGAUAAGUCAUGCCUGAUGCAUUUUGCCGAUCGCGAAGUAGGAGAUGAUCUGCAUCCGCUUCGGCCGUGUGGAAAGUAAGCAUUUCGCUACGAAUUUACAUCUAUUGGCCGUAGGUUAAUAUUUGGUUUAUGGUUUUGGUUUUCAUUGGGAAGUUUUCUUUUCUUGCUUAUAUGUGUGGUUGCCGAAGUUCUUCAGCCGUAGGAAAAUCCCUAACUUGGUGUUCAAACUACCAAAAUCUUCUACCAACUUCGUUGCUGUUGCAGAUCAUAAUUGUGAAAAUACUACUACCAUAAAAUAUGUAAGCAGUCAUAUAAACUGAACCUCAAUCGAGUUUGCAGAGUUCAUGUGAACUUUUGGGGAGAGCUUGCCAAGUUGGAUCUCAAAUUAUAUUUUUUUCAUGAUUGGAAAAUUGGAGCUUGGAUUAGGCAAGUGGAGGAUUUAUCUAAGAGUUGUUCCUUGAUCCUUAAACGUCCUUACUGUCUACUGCAUGUAGUUGGUCUGGAAGGGCCUGAACGAGACAGUUUUCAAGGGGGGUGAAGGUCUCUUCUUCCUCCAUCAUAUAUAGAGCAAUUGCCUAUUGUCUCUUGCUAUUAAGUGUUUAAUCGGACUGAAGGCUGGUGGGGGAUAAGUCACAUAUUGGUUAGCUAGAAAAAAUAAACAUAAUUUAUAUGCCUAAAAAUGAAUUGAAAGUUAGCACUUUGAGCCAUCAAGGCUGGAAGUGAAAUCUGAUUCUUAACUGUCGAUCAACAUUUUGAACAAGGAGAAGCCUUCUCUUUGGUUCUUGCUUACUUCUGUUUGGAAAACUAUUACCCUAAAUAACAAUAUUUUUUAAUGUAAAAUUUCCCACGCAAUUCCUGAGGGAAUAGCAUACGAUGAAGGUUGCCAAGUAAGGUAAAAUACUCGUCUAUUGUAGCACAAUUGCUGUGGAUGUCUAUUGUUGUUCUCUGGGAGUAACCUACAUUUCUAAUAUAAUUGAAUUCUUAUGCGUAGAUUAGCAAUGACAUGUGGCUGUAGUUAAGUGGUUAGAAUUCCACGUUGUGGCCGUGGAGACCUGGGCUCGAAUCCCAGCAGCCACAAAGAUUUAUCGUUUUCUUUUAAUUAUGAUUUUUGAUAUGCUUUAUAGCUUAAAUCGUGAACUGGUUUUGCUUCAAUUAGCAUCCCAGCAGCCACAUUUGGUUGUCGUUUUCUUUCAAUUAUGCUUUUUGAUACGAUUUCUAACUUAAUUCGUGAAUUUUUUUUGCUUCAAUUAGCGUUUUGAUCUGCUUUAUAGCUUACAGGGGUGAACUAUAGGAAUAACUUACGUUGUUGUCACCUCAACCUUCUCACUGUCAGAUAUGCUGAUACAGCAUAAACCUGUGAAUCGUAGGAAUAAAGGCUGUCACACAACCAUAUCUAUGAACCAAAGCAUGGCCGCGCAUCAGGCAUCCAGUGAAGAAUAUUCGUCCCAAAUAUCUGUCAAUUGCAUCGAUCUCACCGCACGCAACUCAUAAAUUCCUUUCGGAUACAACCCACACUGACAACAAAACCCAUAUCAUUUCAGUUCUAUUUACGUAAGGAGACAUGAAAAGAUAAAAAGUAUCCAUCUCAUGUGAAUGCGUACAACACCAGAGUGUUCUGGACCCACAGAAAGAGCUACUCUCGACGGCAGCUAGCGAACAGCAAGCUUCCCCCUCCCCACCCUCCCCCACGGCUCUCUCUUGCAUGCCCACCAUCUUCCGCGUUCCAGAACAAGGCCAUGUCUCUUCACUUCGCCAUCUCUCUGCAGCUUCUGUCCUUCAUGCAUCCUGCUCCAUCUUCUCUCACCCUCAAACCGCAGCCCCCGCCGGCUCCGCGGCCACGGACGAGUCGGCGAGCGAAGCCCGGCACAGCGGGCAGCUCGUGUGAGCCUUUAACCACUCGUCCACGCACUCCACAUGGAACGUGUGGCCGCAGCUGGGCAGCACUUUGACCUUAUCCCCCUCCGUCAGGCUACUCAGGCAUAUCGAGCACUGCGCCUCCUCGCCGGCCUCCAAGUCCCGGUGCAGGUGCACCGGGAAGCUGUCGAUGAUCCGCGGAUCGAGGCCUGCUGUGCGAUGCGAUGUCGCGGCCGACGACAUGCUCACCGGGGCGGUUUCGGCCCCCCAUUGCGGACGGUGGCGGCACGCCCACCUCACGUAGAGGCAGAUGAGGGUGAAGAAGAGGAGAAUGGUAAAGGAGAUGAGAAGGAAGAGGAGACCCCGGCCACGGACGUGGAAGUUCUUGUCGUCGAGCGCGUCGUAGUGCCAACGGAAGGGCUGAGCGUCCUGUGCUGCCAUCCUCACCGGUGUUGGUGGUGGUGGUGGAUAUGGAUUCGAGUUUGGGCUUUUAUGAGGGUGGGGAUGGCUCGGCGAGUGGCUUCCGAAGGAUGAAGCGUCGAGUGGUGCAAGAGGGUUUCGGCCCAUGCCAUGCCAUCCCAUUCACCUCGCUUUCCAGCUUGCCCUUCGUCUCACAUUAAAGAAAAGGGUAGUUUUGGCUCAUCUCAUUCACUGUUGUUGGUGGAGAUGGCGGUGUUUCUACGCAAAGAACGAAGAGCUGGCCAGGGAUGGCAGAGCCGUUCUGCAUGAAGGUUUCUAAUCCCCAGUUUUGGUAUAGGCUGAUACGAAAUAAAACUUCCAAUUAAAGGGCUGUGGCGGUCAGCAAUUAAUUGAGAGGCAAGAAGUCAGGAUGCUUCUCGGUCCUUCCAGCUAAUUGCUGAGGGUGCGACAGGAGGGAUUUGGAAGCUUGCUUGUUGUGUAUCGAUUUGCUUCACGCACGCUAUCUUGCUUUAACCCCCCUGUUUGCCAGCACAAUGAGAAGUAGACAAGAUGUCGCUAAUGGUGUUGGGUUGCGCGACGUGAUGAUCACGCGCAUAAAUAAAUUAUUGAAAUAUACACACAUCGAAAGCGAAAUUACAUGGUACAUGAAUGACCAUAGUAAAGUUAUGAAUGUCUUGGAAAUGGCACAUAAAUUUAGUAUUCUACAGGUGAUUGUUUAGUUGAAGCCCAGUGGGCCAGCCCAAUUGCAAUGAUGGUGGGUGUAGGUGUGGGAGAUUUAAGCAUUUGCUGGUGUAAAGGGUUCACAAGACGAAGCACAGCAAGUUUUGGUACAUGUGCUUGGGAAAUUUGGAAAAGAAGGGGUCCUUUCCUGAUUAUGUUUCGCUUUUGUUUCACAAUUUAUUGCCAAGAUAAAUAGUUCGGGGGCUAUGUACGGUGACUGUGUGGGUGGCACGUGUCGACUCGCCAAUCCGGCUCCGUACAUCUUAUGUCCUGUAGGACACCGGUGCAGGGCACAGGAGCCUUUAACACUUGGCGGGCAGGAGAAGUGAAUCGUGUGAAAGGUUGCCCUUCUAUGAUGAGGUUAGAUCAAUAUCAAUGGGUCUUAUGCGUCCAACUCAACGUGUAUGAGUGGUAUGCCUCAAUUUGCCAGCGUAGUGGUGCGAUUGGGUCUAUCCCUUUAAAACGCUAAGCCCAACAUCAAACCCAAACUAAAGCUCUCUCUCUCUCUCUCUAUAUAUAUAUAUAUAUAUAUAUACACACUCACACUGAAAGACCUCUCAACAUGUGAGGCCUCUCUCACCCUCUACUGCAAGAAAAAGAGGCGAUCAAGAAGCGGCCAUGGCGGCGAUCCUCUCCGCCAUUUGAUUCGCUCGCUCUCUCUCUCUCCUGCCCGGAAAAGAUGCGAUCAAGAAGCGUCAUGGUGGCGAUCCUCUCCGCCAUUUGAUUCGGUAUCUCUCUCUCUCUCUCUCUCUCUCUCCUGCUGGAAAAAGAGGCGAUCCAGAAGCGACAUGGCGGGGAUCCUCUCCGCUAUUUGAUCCGCGCGCGCUCUCUCUCUCCUGCCGGAAAAAGAGGCGAUCCAGAAGCGCCAUGGCGGGGAUCCUCUCCGCUAUUUGAUCCGCGCGCGCGCUCUCUCUCUCUAAAAGAAAAAGAGGCGAUCAAGAACCGCCAUGGCGGCAAUCCUCUCCGCCAUUUGAUUCGUGGCAUUCAGCCGAUGAGGGAAUCGGCUCCCCCCUCGAAUCAUGGAAGAGAAGCACCCAUGAUCCCUACUCAGUAAUGCUUCCGCGCCCUCCAGCGUCUCACGAUGCAUCCGUGUCCGGUUAAUCCUUGGACAAACGAGCGAGUUCCAAGCUUUGAUGUUAUCUGUUUAGGGUUUCUGUCCCCAUCUUUCUCUUUUCCUUUAUACUUGUUGCUUCGUAUGGUUAGUUAUUGCUGAUGAAAUCUGAGGUCGAAUUCAGAUUUAUGGCGUAAUCAGUUCCGUGAUUAUCUCAAGGAAGUUGGAGAAGAACGGGAUCGGGUUGAGGCGAGCGAUGUCUCAUUUGGCGUAUUCUAUUUCAGCAGCUGAAGCUUGAUGGGGAUUUCAGGUAAGUCUAUUCUCUUCUAUAACUUAGUUUUUCUUCUGCCUGAUGCUGAUCGGUGUUUUGCCAUAGUUAGGAAUUCAAUUUUAUGCAUCUCGUCGUGCCUUUUCCUUGAUCCGUCGGCACAAUCUAUCUCUGAUACUUUCUUCCUUUUGCCCUUUCAAGAUAAUAGUCAAAUUUUAGCUUCUCUCAUUAUAUCUGCAAUUCUUGAAUUCUUGCUACAUAAUAUAGAGCCACAAAAUUCAUGAAUGUAGCCGACAUAGUAGCUACUUUUGCAAUUCCCUUAUUUUCAUCUAUUGUCCACAUGAUCAUACAAUGUGUAGUGUGAUAUUUGUGUUGGGUCGAGUAUUAGGAUAGGAGUUAAUAUUAGGUAAGUCCGCAUCAUGAGAAAGACAUGGAUCAAUUUGGAGUCAGGGCAGAAGUGGGCGAGAGGAUACGAGGGAAUUGUGCUUCAUAGACAUGAUCUAGUGGUAAGGGCAUAGAAGUAAUAAACCUCAUUAUUCUUUAUUAGUUACGGUACUGUGGAUUAUUGCAAAGCAAUUUAUAGUCAGUCUUCACAAGAUGUUCCGACUAGAAAGAAGAAUAAACUUGUUCUGAGCCUUUUAAAGAUGCAACGAGAUGAAUUAAAAAGAAACACACUGAUGAUUUGUCAUCAUUUUAUUACCAAUUUGGUUUACAAAAUUAAGAUAAAUUUGGCCAAAUAAUCUAUCUAUCAUUAGUUUGAUUUUUUUUUUUUUUGAAGUCCAAGAAUUGUUUGAUCAUUUGUUCCAUAGAUGAAUCUAUAGGCUGUUGCCCUAACAUUAAUAUGGUAAAAGUUUAGAGAGGGUGACGCAUAUAGAUAAGCAUCGCUCUAACAGAGUUCAUCAGGGAUUAACUUAGGAAACAAUAAGUGUAUAGCACCAAACAGAUCUCGCCUCUAAACAUAGGGGACUAAGUAAAACGCAGCAUAAUGUGAUGAUGGUGUAUCGGCCAACACAGAAUGCCGGUGUCCUCUCUUCCGGGACAAGGCAGUGGACUUGGAGAUGUAUUGUGGCAUCCACCAUCAUCACCAAAUAAAUUAAAGUGAAAACAGGGGAAAGAAAGAAACAGGUUCGUAUAAGAUGUGCCACUGUCACCAAAGCCCUGUGGCUGGCGCUAGAGGCACAUGUCUUAGGUGUUACUAUCAACAACCGACUUCAGUACAGUAGAUCAUGACACGCGUGCACACACAGUCUCUUGCACAUUGUGUUUGUGUGUAUGAGAGAGAGAGAGAGAUGGAUGACUGAUCUUCUGAAAAUCUUGGUGAAAUUUUCACAGAGGCCUAAUCGCCAAGCAUUCAAUUAGCGCCCCAAAUAUAUACUAGUAGUUGGAAAGUGGUGUCUAUUCAGAAGCCUUGCAUCAAAAUAGUAGAACCAGUCAAUGAAGACGACCUAGAAGUCAAAGGCACCAAAUUUGUGGCUUCUCCGGCAACUAUAUUUCCAAUUAAAUACGCUUUGCCAAAGUUUGCAGCAAAACUGUCUUCGACAAGAACCCCACAACGUUUGCAGCACAAUUAAAUGACUUUAAAAUAUAUAUAUAACAGACGCAUACAAGAAACAAUGGUUCAUGUAAGAUGCAGAAGAAAGAUACCACGGGGCAGCGCUACAAGUCAUGAUGUCAUAUUUUCUCCUCAAUUGCGUCAAUCAUCAUAAAGACACCACAGGGGAAUGCGGCGGAGGGGUUUGUCCCGUCGAUGAGAGCCUUGAGCUCGCCAGACUCGUGGAGGCGGCAGAUCUCGUCGGCGCCGCCAAGGCAGCUGCCAGCGAGGAAGACCUGCGGGAGGGUGGGCCGGUGGCGGCCAAGGGCGGCCUGGAGCUCGGCGAGGGAGCGCGAAUCCACGGAGAGGUCGCGUUCGUCGAUGACGACGCGGAGGCCGCGAAGGAUGGAGCGGACGGCGCGGCAAUCCUCGAAGGUGCGGCGGACGACGUGGAGGGAGGUGAAGUAGAGGACGACGGUGCCGCAUCGGUCGGUAUACGAGGCAGAGGAGCGGAGAGCACGAAGGGCGGAGGACGCAGGGCGGGCUCGGUGGAUGACGCGGCGGAAGACGUGGGAGGAGGGGUGUUCGUCGGCGUCGUCAUGGACGAUGGCUUGGAGGUCCCCGAGGUGGGAGGUGGUGGGAGAGCGGAGGGUGGCGCCAGCGGUGGCGGGGUAUCGACUAAUCUUCACCCACGGCGGCCACAUAAGUUCGAGAGAGAGAGAGAGAGAACUGACGCCUACAAGAGGAGGAAGAGAAGAUGCAAGAGAGGGACUUUUUUAUUCUUCAAGUAAUCGAUUUUCAAAAUAAAUGCAUAGAGCUCAUGUAUGGCAGAUUCGAAAAGUUCGAGGAGCGGGACAUCUUCCACUUGCUAUUAUCCUGAUUCUCCAAUUUUUUGAAUUUAUUAUUUUACCCCGCUCCGUGCUCAUGUUCAGGUAUAAAGCUCGAGGAGCGGCAUCUUCCGCUUGCUGAUGCUCCAAUUUUUGAAUUUGUUAUUUCAAUUGGUUACUUAUCAUGCUCCUUUUUUUU